GGGGAAUUAGCUCAGUUGGGAGAGCGCGUGACUGGCAGUCACGAGGUCAGGGGUUCGAACCCCCUAUUCUCCACCA
rnacentral:tRNA from 21 species